rnacentral:rRNA from 1 species
CGUGAAACCGUCCAGGGGUAAACCUGCGAAACUCGAAUGAACGAACGGAGAGAUUCAUCGUCAUUCCUCGGCGCACGGGCGUUUGAUGCGAUGCGCGUCCACCGGUUUCGGCCGGCGGGUGUGCGCACGCUUCGCGUACGUAGCGCUCCGGGGACGGCGUGCACUUCUCUCCCAGUAAUACAUCGCGACCCGUUCGAUGUCGGUCUAAGUGCCCUCCGGGAGUCUGCGCGUUUCCUCCUCCGUGUGGUUCGUGUAGACCGCGAGGUGUCUCACCGACCGGCCGUCGGACGGUAGUUCGUACGAAACGCGCACGCGCCAUAGCGCGCGUCCGGCCCGACGCAAGGCAACGUCGUAUCUAUACGCCCUCGUCCUGCCCGAGUGCGGACGAGGGUGCGGCGCGCCUGUCGUCGCAGCCGUGCUGUCUCGGACCGUGCGCGUGUCCGUCUGCGA